AUCGAGCUUAGACCAAAAGUCUCCGAACGUGCAUGCCUUCCAUGUGCACGUAUACGUGAGCCGCACAGCGAGUUGCACACACGUGGUGGUGGUGGCCGUCAGCCGUGUUUUUUUGGCAGACAGUGGUCUGUAGCUUGCUGUGCGUUGAGGGGGGAUAGGUGACGUAUUCGGGCUAGUUAGAAAGGUACGUCGCUAGCGCUUAUCCUCUCGUUAUUUGCAAAAACGGUAUCCACUUUGGCGUCUACGCCUCACCUAGCUAUUGCCUGGACCGUCGGUAGCUAUGAAAUGUGGGGAUAAAGCUCCUUGUCUUUAUGGCGAGUCGAGUAGACUUAAUGAGCCUCAGCUAGGAGGCCGCCAAAACCCAAACACAACCAGUGUUUUAAGAGUAUUGAAUGUGGAAAUAAAGGUGUGCUUUGUGCGCCUUGAAAAUCGAGUUAUAAAUCUUAGCGGUGGAUCACUCGGUUCGUGGAUCGAUGAAGAACGCAGCUAGCUGCGAUAAAUAGUGCGAAUUGCAGACACAUUGAGCACUAAGAAUUCGAACGCACAUUGCGCCAUCGGGUUCAUUCCCGUUGGCACGUCUGGCUGAGGGUCGAAUUAUAACGACGAAGAUCCGUGUGUAGAGUGGCUUCGUGCAUGUCGCGGAGUGGUGCUCAUGCGCGGUGUAUUCGGCGAGCUAUGGAGUGGUGGUGAUGGUGUUGUUGUUGUUGUUGCUUCGGCGGCGGCGGCGAGCACCGCAAUCAGUCACUCGAUACCUUGCUUAGGCGGGAGGAAUCGCUCGCAAUUGUUUGCUUCGUGCGAUGCGAUGAUGGCCGUGAAGUGUUGCGCUCACUCACAGAUAGGGCUCCGAGCAGGUGUUUUCUCUCUCGGUUUGGUGCCCGUAUCGAGAUGGCAAGUGUGUGUAAUUGUAACGCUAGGCGGUUGUCAAACUUGGUUUUGACCUCAGCUCAGUCGUGACUACCCGCUGAAUUUAAGCAUAUAACUA
rnacentral:rRNA from 1 species